UUUUUUUUCGUGGAGUCCGGCCUAUCUCCUUCCUCGAGCUAGCCCUUCCCGGUUUCUCAGUGGCUUGCCCAACGGCGGCCGUUCUCGUCUUCCACCGCCAGCGCACUACCUAGGUCCAGUCUCCCGUCAAAUUUGUUCACUUGUGCUCCGCGUACCUACAGCCCAUGCGUUGACCGACCAGCCUUCAGGCUCUCAUCGCAAGAUUAACGAUAGGAGGGCCCGAUAGAUCAGGAAGACAGCUCGGUGCAGCAGUAGCGGACGGCAUACUGGCGAGUCAAUGUGCUGAGAAAAGGAGGCUUCUCAGCAAAUGUGAAGGGCGGAAAGGGGAUCUGCUAUGAGGAGCAAAUGAAGAACCAUCCUUAUGCAUUUGGAAUAAUCUGAGGUUGGCCGAAGAAUCAAAACCCAGUUCUGUCAAGAUUUCUAUGGCACACAUCUGCAGUUCUCUGCUCACAUUGUUCCCCUGAUCAAGAAAGCUCUCCAGGUUGCUCAGUGCCGGCUUGCUGGAAGAGAUUUCAUGGGUCAGCCUUUUGCCAUUCCACUCGGGAGCACUACUUUAGUGAUGUAAACGCUCUUAUAUUUUCUUUACAGAGGGAGUAGUCAGUCAUAGUUUAUGCAGCAUCGUCAUGGCGCUCAAAGUAGAAAGCGUAUUGUGGUAUGUCCAAGUAAAGGUUCCAGUUCUAGUUUAGUCUUGCUUUUAGCUGUUUUAGCCUCCGCUCUGGUGCUCAAAGUGGACUACACGAACCAAUGGAAAUUUAACAAAAAUUCACAAAAAUUGAAAAAAUUCGGCUCAAAGUGGUCAGGGAAAGGUCCUUUCUUCAGUUUCAGUCUUGUUUGCUUCGGUUAAUUUUUUGCCUGUUCUUUGCUUUGUGUACUCUGUUUUUUUUGAAGGGCCCGUGGCCGAACUUCUAUUACUAAGAAGAGACAUUAACAUUCCUGCCCUUUA